UACAGAGGGUGCGAACGUUGCUCGGAAUUACUGGGCGUAAAGCGCGUGUAGGCGGUCCGUUAAGUUGGUUGUGAAAUCCCAUGGCUCAACCAUGGAAGUGCUGCCAAAACUGGCGGGCUGGAGUGCCGGAGAGGGUGGCGGAAUUCCCAGUGUAGAGGUGAAAUUCGUAGAUAUUGGGAGGAACACCGGUGGCGAAGGCGGCCACCUGGACGGUAACUGACGCUAAGACGCGAAAGCGUGGGGAGCAAACAGG
rnacentral:rRNA from 1 species